rnacentral:rRNA from 1 species
UACGUAGGGUGCAAGCGUUAAUCGGAAUUACUGGGCGUAAAGCGUGCGCAGGCGGUUGUGUAAGACAGAUGUGAAAUCCCCGGGCUCAACCUGGGAACUGCAUUUGUGACUGCACAGCUGGAGUGCGGCAGAGGGGGAUGGAAUUCCGCGUAUAGCAGUGAAAUGCGUAGAUAUGCGGAGGAACACCGAUGGCGAAGGCAAUCCCCUGGGCCUGCACUGACGCUCAUGCACGAAAGCGUGGGGAGCAAACAGG